rnacentral:rRNA from 1 species
GUUAUAGGGACAAGCGAAUAAGUGCACAUGGUGGAUGCCUUGGCGAUUACAGGCGACGAAGGACGUAGUAGCUUGCGAUAAGCUGCGGGGAGCUAGCAAACAAGCUUUGAUCCGCAGAUUUCCGAAUGGGGAAACCCGGCCUUUUAGGUCAUUGCAUACUGAAUACAUAGGUAUGCAAAGCGAACGCGGCGAACUGAAACAUCUAAGUAGCUGCAGGAAAAUAAAUCAACCGAGAUUCCCAAAGUAGUGGCGAGCGAAAUGGGAUGAGCCUGCACGUUUUAGCAUGACGGAUAGUAGAAACCACUGGAAAUUGGUGCCAUAGAGGGUGAUAGCCCCUUAUACGAAAUUCGAUGUGUGGAACUAAGCGUGCGACAAGUAGGGCGGGACACGAGAAAUCCUGUCUGAAUAUGGGGGGACCAUCCUCCAAGGCUAAAUACUCGUAAUCGACCGAUAGUGAACCAGUACCGUGAGGGAAAGGCGAAAAGAACCCCGGAAGGGGAGUGAAAUAGAUCCUGAAACCGUGUGCAUACAAACAGUAGGAGCGGACUUGUUCCGUGACUGCGUACCUUUUGUAUAAUGGGUCAGCGACUUACAUUCAGUGGCAAGGUUAACCGUAUAGGGAAGCCGUAGAGAAAUCGAGUCCGAAUAGGGCGACAGUCGCUGGGUGUAGACCCGAAACCAAGUGAUCUACUCAUGGCCAGGAUGAAGGUGCGGUAACACGCCCUGGAGGUCCGAACCCACUAAUGUUGAAAAAUUAGGGGAUGAGCUGUGGGUAGGGGUGAAAGGCUAAACAAACUUGGAAAUAGCUGGUUCUCUCCGAAAACUAUUUAGGUAGUGCCUCAAGUAUCACCAUCGGGGGUAGAGCACUGUUAUGGCUAGGGGUUCAUUGCGAAUUACCAAACCAUUGCAAACUCCGAAUACCGAUGAGUGCGAGCUUGGGAGACAGACGUCGGGUGCUAACGUCCGGCGUCAAGAGGGAAACAACCCAGACCGCCAGCUAAGGUCCCAAAGAUUGGCUAAGUGGAAAACGAAGUGGGAAGGCUAAAACAGUCAGGAUGUUGGCUUAGAAGCAGCCAUCAUUUAAAGAAAGCGUAAUAGCUCACUGAUCGAGUCGUCCUGCGCGGAAGAUGUAACGGGGCUAAGCCAGUCACCGAAGCUGCGGAUAUAU